rnacentral:lncRNA from 1 species
AUCUCCCCACAGGUGACUUAUUCAUUAUAAAUUGGGAAAAGGGGUGCCUUUACAAUGGAGAAAGCCGGUGAGCAUCACACGUGGUCAAAGUUAAGGUCACCAGUAAUCAGACAAUAUGAUACUAUGUGCCUGCCCCGAUGUUUGGCAUCAGAGAGGACACAGCGUAACUUGUGGUAUUGCUGACAAAAAUGAACAACCAGAAUCUACAGGGCUAACAAUGAGACAAAACCAAAUUGAGAGACAGUCUAUGCAACAACCACCUUCAAGCGUCAAAAAUGUAAAUAUCAUAAAGAGCUACGAAACCCUGAAGAAUGUUUUCAGAUUAAAGGAGACAAAGAAAUGCAGCAUGUGAAUCUGGACUGGAUCCCAGAUUUUGGAAAAAAAAUUGCUAUGAAGAAAUUUUUGGCUGGGCUCGGUGGCUAACGCUUAUAAUCCCAGCACUUUGGGAGGCCGAGGCGGGCAGAUCAUUUGAGGUCGGAAGUUUGAGGCCAGUCUGGCCAACAUGGUGAAACCCCAUCUCUACUAAAAAUAUAAAAAUCAGCUGGGUGUGGUGGCCACACCCGUAAUCCCAGCUACUCGGGAGGCUGAGGCCGGAGAAUCACUUGAACCUGGGAAGUGGAGGUUACAGUGAGCCGAGAUCGUGCCAUUGCACUCCAGCCUGGGUGACAAAGUGAGACUCUGUCUCAAAAAAAAAAAAAAAAUCUUAUUUCUAGACUGAGCAAAUCCUUAAUACAGUUGACAAAUGUUCAGUUUGUCCCUGCCCCAGCUUCCUGCUGAAUAAAGCUGCACAGAAGGGACCCUCUGCUGCAUGAAGAGUGUCAGCACUUGAGAGGCUGCUAUGUGCAAGACACUGUGCUUUAGUCUCCCCUAGCCUGGGCUCCUCAUCCCAGAGCAGGGAACCUGAGGGGCAAAGAGAGAAGAGGCCUGGGAGAAGGAGGAAUGUGUGAAGAUCCACGACCCUAGAAUUCUGGCUCCCUGAACCUUCCUGGACUGCAAAUCUAUCCAGUACAAAUUGAGGAUAUCUUUGAAAAACAAACAGUUUUAU